GGCGGUGUGGUGAAAUUGGUAGACACGACGGAUUCAAAAUCCGUUGCCUUAACGGGCGUGGCGGUUCGAGUCCGCCCACCGCUACCA
rnacentral:tRNA from 3 species